GAUGAACGCUGGCGGCGUGCCUAAUACAUGCAAGUCGAGCGAACGGACGAGAAGCUUGCUUCUCUGAUGUUAGCGGCGGACGGGUGAGUAACACGUGGAUAACCUACCUAUAAGACUGGGAUAACUUCGGGAAACCGUAGCUAAUACCGGAUAAUAUUUUGAACCGCAUGGUUCAAUAGUGAAAGACGGUCUUGCUGUCACUUAUAGAUGGAUCCGCGCUGCAUUAGCUAGUUGGUAAGGUAACGGCUUACCAAGGCAACGAUGCGUAGCCGACCUGAGAGGGUGAUCGGCCACACGGGAAAUGAGACACGGUACAGACUCCUACGGGAGGCAGCAGUAGGGAAUCUUCCGCAAUGGGCGAAAGCCUGACGGAGCAAAGCCGCGUGAGUGAUGAAGGUCUUCGGAUCGUAAAACUCUGUUAUUAGGGAAGAACAAAUGUGUAAGUAACUGUGCACAUCGUGACGGUACCUAAUCAGAAAGCCACGGCUAACUACGUG
rnacentral:rRNA from 1 species